rnacentral:rRNA from 1 species
UACAGGGGGGGCAAGCGUUGUUCGGAAUUCCUGGGCGUAAAGGGCUCGUAGGCGGUUUGUCGCGUCGGGAGUGAAAACACGGGGCUUAACCCCGUGCCUGCUUCCGAUACGGGCAGACUAGAGGUAUGCAGGGGAGAACGGAAUUCCUGGUGUAGCGGUGAAAUGCGCAGAUAUCAGGAGGAACACCGGUGGCGAAGGCGGUUCUCUGGGCAUUACCUGACGCUGAGGAGCGAAAGUGUGGGGAGCGAACAGG